CCAGGAGUCAAAGAGAGGCUGGUGUAGAGAGAGAAAAAAAGUUAGGGAGAGGAAAAGAGAGAGAGCGCUGAGGACUGGGGAGCUGAAAAAAAACAACAACUGAGAGCUGGAACGAGAUGAGAGUUGUAGGAGAGUAGAGACGUGGGGAAGGAGCGUUGGAGAUCCUUGCUGGACCUUCAGGGCUGCAGCAACCAGGAAGCAUCCCAGGACACAGAUGACUCUACUGACUCAUCUGAUGCGUGGGUGAACUGCACCAGAACUGACAUCUCACAGGCUUCUUCUACAGGUCAGAGGAGCCAGACUGUGGUGAAGGCUUUCUAUCAAAGUCCGAAGAAAGUAAGAGCAGCGCAGUUGUACUAGAGGAAGGUGACAGUGGCCAAACCGCC